rnacentral:rRNA from 1 species
AAUCAACGCUGGCGGCGUGCCUCAGACAUGCAAGUCGAACGAUUAAGACUCUCUUCGGAGAGUGUAUAAAGUGGCGCACGGGUGAGUAACACGUAGGUAAUGUACCGAAGGGUGGGGAAUAACUUAGGGAAACUUAAGCUAAUACCGCAUAAUGCAGCGGCUCGACAUCGAGACAGUUGUUAAAGGAGCAAUCCGCCUUUUGAGCAGCCUGCGGCAGAUUAGUUAGUUGGUAAGGUAAUGGCUUACCAAGGCUACGAUCUGUAACCGACCUGAGAGGGUGGUCGGUCACACUGACACUGAAUAACGGGUCAGACUCCUACGGGAGGCAGCAGUCGGGAAUUUUGGGCAAUGGGCGAAAGCCUGACCCAGCAACGCCGCGUGAAGGAUGAAGUAUUUCGGUAUGUAAACUUCGUAAGAAUAGGAAGAAUAAAUGACGGUACUAUUUGUAAGGUCCGGCUAACUACGUGCCAGCAGCCGCGGUAAU